UGCGGCGGCCGGGAGUCGAACCGGGGCAAACUGCGUGGAAAGCAGCUAUGCUAACCGUUAUACCACAGCCGC